rnacentral:rRNA from 1 species
CCUACGGGGGGCAGCAGUGAGGAAUAUUGGUCAAUGGUCGGGAGACUGAACCAGCCAAGCCGCGUGAGGGAGGAAGGUAUAGAGUAUCGUAAACCUCUUUUGUCAGGGAACAAAGACUGGGACGCGUCCCCGGAUGAGUGUACCUGAAGAAAAAGCAUCGGCUAACUCAGUGCCAGCAGCCGCGGUAAUACGGAGGAUGCGAGCGUUAUCCGGAUUUAUUGGGUUUAAAGGGGGCGCAGGCGGUCUGUUAAGUCAGCAGUCAAAGCCCGGGGCUCAAACCCCGGCCCGCCUUUGAAACUGGCGGGCUCGAGUUGGAGAGAAGUAUGCGGAAUGCGCGGUGUAGCGGUGAAAUGCAUAGAUAUCGCGCAGAACUCCGAUUGCGAAGGCAGCAUGCCGGCUCCACACUGACGCUGAGGCACGAAAGCGUGGGUAUCGAACAGGAUUAGAUACCCGAGUAGUC